CAAUAGCGUAUACUAACGUUGUUGCAGUUAAAAAGCUCGUAGUUGGAUUUGUGGCGGCAGUUGCGGUCCGUACUUUUUCGGUACUGUCGACUGCUGCCAUCCUUGGGUGGAUGGUGUGUGGCAUUAGGUUGUCGUGCAGUGGAUGCCCAUCGUUUACUGUGAGAAAAUUAGAGUGUUCAAAGCAGGUAAGCAUAAUCCAACCUCUCAGUGGUUUUCUUGUCCCCUUUUUUCUUGGAUCUCUUUCUCAACAACUUGUUUGUUUCUUCUCUUGCAGGCUUAAGCCGUUGAAUAUAUUAGCAUGGAAUAAUGAGAUAGGACCCUGGUACUAUUUUGUUGGUUUGCGUGCCAAGGUAAUGAUUAAUAGGGACAGUUGGGGGUAUUCGUAUUCCAUUGUCAGAGGUGAAAUUCUUGGAUUUCUGGAAGACGAACUACUGCGAAAGCAUUUACCAAGGAUGUUUUCAUUAA
rnacentral:rRNA from 1 species